AAGGCACACACUACGCAGUCAAGAAACAAUCCACAGCUAGCUAGCCGCAUUAGCAAAAUGGCCUUCAAAUCCAUAGCGUUCCCCACGCUCCUGCUCCUCGCUGCUGCGCUCAUGCUCGCGGCUUCCGCCCACGCCCAGGCACCGGCCUCGACACCGACUCCGGCACCGGCGCCAUCCCAAUCUCUGUGCCCUAAUGUCUUGAGCGACAUUCAGGCCUUCGAAACGGCAGCUAGGGCGCUCGUGGACAAGAUCGAGAUGAUUUUAGUUCCUAAUAUCAUGGUGAAGCUCGAUACCACCCUUGCGAUGCUAGGUCUCCUGCACCCAGGUGUGAAAUUGUGUGUGUGCACCAAUAAUCCUAGCAACCUCAUUCCCGGCUCGGGGCCCAAACUCAGAUGCGUUGGGGCCGGUAUCACUGUCUAAGCAUGCAUGCUGGCGCGCGCAUAACUUCAAAUUAAAUGGGCGCGUUGCCUGGUUGUUUACGUAUACUACUACUUACAUCAAAUAAGGUGCCUUAUAAGGUGAUCGAUGCAUAUGAGUCUGCACAUGUUUGUGUUGUUGUGCGUCUGGAGUUGAGAUCUGUUUAACUUAAUUGGUCAUCAUGUGUUGUGCUUCUUGUAUGUUGUCUGCUCAAAUGCCAUAUGUACUGGAAGCAUGUUGUAUUACUAUCAAGGACAUUUGUUCAUUCUGCUUAAUAUAAUAAUGAUCGGUUACAGUAUCACAACUUGUUGCAGUGGCCAU
rnacentral:lncRNA from 1 species